rnacentral:snRNA from 1 species
UUACUUCUGCAGCAUAUGUCCUAAAAUUGGACAAAAAAACAUUAGUGUGACUCCCGCACAAGGAUGACACACAAAUUCAUUGUGUUCCAUAUUUUU